UACGAAGGGGGCUAGCGUUGCUCGGAAUUACUGGGCGUAAAGCGCACGUAGGCGGCUUACUAAGUCAGGGGUGAAAUCCUGGAGCUCAACUCCAGAACUGCCUUUGAUACUGGUGAGCUUGAGUCCGGAAGAGGUGAGUGGAACUGCGAGUGUAGAGGUGAAAUUCGUAGAUAUUCGCAAGAACACCAGUGGCGAAGGCGGCUCACUGGCCCGGUACUGACGCUGAGGCACGAAAGCGUGGGGAGCAAACAGG
rnacentral:rRNA from 1 species